rnacentral:rRNA from 1 species
UACAGAGGGGGCAAGCGUUGUUCGGAAUUACUGGGCGUAAAGGGCGCGUAGGCGGCCUGUUAAGUCGAACGUGAAAUCCCCGGGCUCAACCCGGGAACUGCGUCCGAUACUGGCAGGCUUGAAUUCGGGAGAGGGAUGCGGAAUUCCAGGUGUAGCGGUGAAAUGCGUAGAUAUCUGGAGGAACACCGGUGGCGAAGGCGGCAUCCUGGACCGAUACUGACGCUGAGGAGCGAAAGCCAGGGGAGCAAACGGG